rnacentral:rRNA from 1 species
ACGAACCGUGCAAACGUUAUCCGGAAUCACUGGGCAUAAAGGGCGCGUAGGCGGCUUUCUAAGUCAGGGGUGAAAUCCGGCAGCUCAACUGUCGCAGUGCCUUUGAUACUGGAGAGCUCGAGGGAGGUAGGGGUCUGUGGAACUUCCGGUGGAGCGGUGAAAUGCGUUGAUAUCGGAAGGAACGCCGGUGGCGAAAGCGACGGACUGGAUCUCUUCUGACGCUGAGGCGCGAAAGCCAGGGGAGCAAACGGGA